rnacentral:rRNA from 1 species
GAUGAACGCUGGCGGCGUGCCUAAUACAUGCAAGUCGAGCGAACAGACGAGGAGCUUGCUCCUCUGACGUUAGCGGCGGACGGGUGAGUAACACGUGGAUAACCUACCUAUAAGACUGGGAUAACUUCGGGAAACCGGAGCUAAUACCGGAUAAUAUAUUGAACCGCAUGGUUCAAUAGUGAAAGACGGUUUUGCUGUCACUUAUAGAUGGAUCCGCGCCGCAUUAGCUAGUUGGUAAGGUAACGGCUUACCAAGGCGACGAUGCGUAGCCGACCUGAGAGGGGGAUGGGCCCCACAGGAACUGAGACGCGGCCCAGACUCCUACGGGCGGCCGCAGUAGGGAAUCUGCCGAAAUGGGGGAAAGCCUGACGGAGCAACGCCGGGGGGGUGAAGAAGGUUUGCGGGUUGUAAAACUGUUUUAUUAGGGAAAAACAAAUGUGUAAGUAACUAAGCACGUUUGGAGGGAACCUAAAAAAAAACCCCGGGCAAACUCCGG